GGCUACGUAGUUCAACUGGAUAGAAUAUCAGAUUUCGGCUCUGAGGGUUGGGGGUUCGAAUCCCUUCGUGGUCACAA
rnacentral:tRNA from 1 species